rnacentral:rRNA from 1 species
GUAAUUCCGGUGAAGAUGCCGGAUACCUGCGACAGGACGGAAAGACCCCAUGGAGCUUUACUGUAGCUUGACAUUGGGUCUUGGUACUACAUGUACAGGAGAGGUGGGAGGCUUUGAAACCAGGACGCCAGUUUUGGCGGGGCCAUCCUUGGGAUACCACCCUUGUAGUACUGGGACUCUAACCAUAGGCCAUGAAUCUGGUCUUGGGACACUGUCAGGUGGGCAGUUUGACUGGGGCGGUCGCCUCCCAAAAGGUAACGGAGGCGCUCAAAGGUUCUCUCAGUACGG